UUGUGGAGGAGGACGCCGAAGGUGGGGCUAAUGACUGGGGUGAAGUCGUAACAAGGUAGCCGUACCGGAAGGUGCGGCUGGAUCACCUCCUAACAGGGAGACAACAAAAUGUUUAAUAUUAUUAUUUUGUCACCUUAGGUCGAUCGGUAUCUCACAUUCUUAAUUUAUUAAGGAUUUUAUUUCCUAAGUUUUUUCUAGGUCACACCCACUAUUUUCCCUGGGCCAUUAGCUCAGGUGGUUAGAGCGCACCCCUGAUAAGGGUGAGGUCCCUGGUUCAAGUCCAGGAUGGCCCAUAUCUCUAUGUUGGGGGUAUAGCUCAGUUGGUAGAGCGCCUGCUUUGCAAGCAGGAUGUCAGCGGUUCGAGUCCGCUUACCUCCACUGAUCACCACCUCUUCCAUAAUUUAUUGAAGGGAAAUAUUUUGAGUUGUGAUCAAAUUCUGAACGAAUCUAGCUUCCUAAUCAAUAUGAUUAAGAUGCUGGACUCAUUGAAUUAAUUUCUUUGUUUUCAGAGAACCUUGACAACUGCAUAGAUUAUUUUUAAAGACAAUAAGCAUCUUUAAUGAUGCAGAUUUAUUAUUUGUGCGAAUGCAUUAAUAACAAUUCUAUUGAGCUGAUGCUUCAAUUUUUGAAGUUAUUGGUCAAGCUACAA
rnacentral:misc_RNA from 1 species